GAUGAACGCUGGCGGCGUGCCUAAUACAUGCAAGUCGAACGAGGUGCUUGAGUAGCAAUACGAGAGUAUCCUAGUGGCGAACGGGUGAGUAACGCGUUGGUGACCUACCCCAAAGUGUGGGAUAACAGUCCGAAAGGAUUGCUAAUACCGCAGUGGUGGUCUUUCGGGUUUAGAAACCGAUGACGAAAGCAGCAAUGCGCUUUGGGAGGGACCUGCGU
rnacentral:rRNA from 1 species